rnacentral:piRNA from 1 species
UUAAUAAUUUUGUGCUUCGAA